rnacentral:rRNA from 1 species
AUGGGAAGUACAAAAAUUACUUCUAGUGAGAGUUCAUUUAAAUCUACAGGGUCCAGUCCCAUAUAUCUUUUAACCAGGUUCAUGGUGAAGCCCAGGGUGCUCGUCGGCGUUCACAAGAAGCAGGCCAUCGAGAAGGAGCUGGGCGACAUGGUGCAGCGGAGCUCGUUGACGAUGAAGGAUGUGAAGCUUCACCACCAUUCACAACUCCAGUAUGGUCCAGUUCGUCAUGAGGAUUUGGAGCUUCAACUUUUCCAGUUCAUCUUUCAUAUGCUUUUUAGUACAUCUACUUCCUCAUUAUGGAAGAAGGAAAUCAGUCCAACAGGUGCAUCUAAAGUGACAUGUCGUGCACCACCCACUCGUCCUCAAGCUGCUCGUCGUGUCAUGCCGGCUUGCCAUCAACCACAGUUGUGGCUCAACUCCCACGGUGCUUCCACGACCACCACACGCAGCCUCCCUCUAUUGUUGCCCUCACCAUGCUCUCCUGCGUAUUGGCGGCCUCAACGAGCUGACUAUGGUUGCCGCUCCUGCGUGCUGCAGUACGCCGUCGAGCUGGUCACCAUUUAUAUUUUUGUUUUAAGUUCAUUUGUGUUCUUGUUGUCAGGUCGCCUACAAAUUUGUUAUCGUUGUUAG